rnacentral:lncRNA from 1 species
UCUCUCUCUUAGAAGACCCCCUAAACCCCUGAAGUGCCUGGUGACCGUUGUCCAAGAGCCUCCUGCUCCUUCUCUCUCAGCGCUUUCACCUCUCUCCUUCCUCUCGGGUUCGUACGGCUCUGUACGGUGAGAAAACCCGAACCCCACAUCCUCUCUGUUAUCGAUCAGCCCUAUUUAAAGGGCUUAAAACUUGAUUAGAGAUAGAUUAGGAGUCCUAAACAAAGCCAGAUAACCCCUGGACCGUCGGAUCA